UACGUAGGGAGCAAGCGUUGUCCGGAAUCAUUGGGCGUAAAGCGCGCGUAGGCGGCCCUGUAAGUCCGCUGUGAAAGUCAAAGGCUCAACCUUUGAAAGCCGGUGGAUACUGCAGGGCUAGAGUCCGGAAGAGGCGAGUGGAAUUCCUGGUGUAGCGGUGGAAUGCGCAGAUAUCAGGAGGAACACCAAUAGCGAAGGCAGCUCGCUGGGACGGUACUGACGCUGAGACGCGAAAGCGUGGGGAGCGAACAGG
rnacentral:rRNA from 1 species